rnacentral:miRNA from 1 species
GUGCAACGAUCAGUGGCAUGC